rnacentral:rRNA from 1 species
AUUGAACGCUGGCGGCAUGCCUUACACAUGCAAGUCGAACGGCAGCACGGGGGCAACCCUGGUGGCGAGUGGCGAACGGGUGAGUAAUGCAUCGGAACGUGCCCAGUAGUGGGGGAUAACCAGUCGAAAGGCUGGCUAAUACCGCAUACGACCUACGGGUGAAAGCGGGGGACCGUAAGGCCUCGCGCUAUUGGAGCGGCCGAUGUCUGAUUAGCUAGUUGGCGGGGUAAGAGCCCACCAAGGCGCCGAACAGUAGCUGGUCUGAGAGGACGACCAGCCACACUGGGGCUGAGACACGGCCCAGACUCCUACGGGAGGCAGCAGUGGGGAAUUUUGGACAAUGGGCGAAAGCCUGAUCCAGCCAUGCCGCGUGCGGGAAGAAGGCCUUCGGGUUGUAAACCGCUUUUGGCAGGAACGAAACGGCGCAAGCCAAUACCUUGCGCUAAUGACGGUACCUGCAGAAUAAGCACCGGCUAACUACGUGCCAGCCGCCGCAGUAAUAC